CCGGGGAGCCGGGCAGCCGCGGGCCCGCAAGGGGUCGAGGAAAGUCCGGGCUCCACGAAACGAGGGUGGCGGGUAACGCCCGCCGGGCCGGCGGCCGCAAGGCCAAGGGUCAAGGGAAAGUGCCACAGAGAGCAGACCGCUAAUCCCGGAUCACCGUUCGGGACAGCAAGGGUGAAAGGGUGCGGCAAGAGCGCACCGCGCGACUGGCGACAGGAGCGGCACGGCAAACCCCACCCGGAGCAAGAUCGAAUAGGGGCUGCGCGUCUUCGGACAGGCUUGUUUCGGGCCAGCAGCCCGGGUUGAUUGCUAGAGCGGCCCGGCAACGGUCCGCCCAGAGGAAUGGCUGCCAGCGGCGAUACGGUCCACACGUGGGAUACCGUCGGCGCUACAGAACCCGGCUUACAGGCUCCCCGGCGCA
rnacentral:RNase_P_RNA from 1 species